UGCGUUCAAAAAAUCAGAGGGAUAUUCUGUUUUUAUUGUUUAUAAAAUAAUUCAGCUACAGUGGUGGUCUUCAGGGCAUUCUUCAUGACCCUCCAGAUCACACUAGCGGUCAUCAAAUUUUUGCCGGCCUAAAAUCUCAAAAUUCUUGAAUUAAAUCUCCGUUAAUUCCAUAAAAUCCCGUUGCCUGUCUUUGCGCCACAGUGAUGGGCAUACAAACUGGCAUGCUGGCACAUUUGAUUACCACACAGUCCCAGACAUAAAAGUAAGCACAGUCGCACCCGUGAAAUUGGAAUUGUGAAAAUUAAUCUUUAAACAUUGCACUCCCUACAUACAAUCUCCCCUAUUUAUUCAAGGGGUGUAUUUAAACUAACCAAAUAGUUUUCACUAGUUAUUGUUCCUUAUCUUAUGCAAACGGCAACUAUAAUUUCCAGAAACGAUUACACCUACUAUAUGUACAUAUACGUAUACAUAUAUAUAUAUAUAUGCAUGUAGUAUUAGAAUUUCAUCAGAGAAUCAGAGGCACUGGCUGCUGUUAUCUAUUUUAUGGACACGCCUGUGUGCUAGCCAUGGGGUUUAAUCUGAGGAAUGGCCUAGUGCCAAGUCUCCAACUGGAAACUGGAGCAUGCCGAGAGCCUAACCGGUUCGAUCAGAGAUCGGGAUGGCUGGCCAAAUUGUUUCUGGUGGAGACUUGUCGUUUGCAUCGUCAUGUGGCUGGCAUCGGAGCGAAAGCCACUCCAAAGCCCAGAAGCUCCUCCAUGGCCCGCUUUCCGUUCGUGGAAUACAUCGGUCGGUUGCUGUUGUAAUUGUAGCCGCCCUCGAUAAGAUAAAAUUUCAACCCUGUCAUCCACCGGCUGACUGCAGCAGCAGCAGUGCUCUGCUUGCUUGUAUUUUGCUGCUGUCGAUAAUUAAAAUGUUUUCAGCGCACAAUAAAAUUGAAAUUGCGAAUCUCUUUGGCCAUCUGCUCUGUAGUUCCGUAAUGAAUGCGAAUACGAAUCCGAGUAGUUCCCCGUUUCCCUAGAAAAUGUGUCAUUCAGAUCAUUUUGUUUCGUUGUCUCAGUAAAUCAAAUGAGAUACAAGUGCAGGUAUUCCCCUGAGAAGAAGUUUGUGAAUCUCUGUGCAACAUACAUAUAUGUACAUAUUAAUCUAUUGAUAUUAGUGCACCACGGAUUAUAAUCGAUAAUGAUUGAUAUUCACUAGAUUUGUUCUUGACUAGAAAUAAUCAUCGUUAAACGUUUCUUCAGGGGAUAUCUAUUCUCUCGAUUAUCUACAACGCGGAUUAGGAUUAUAAUCGCUAAUUAUCAAUAUCCUGUCUAGCAUUUUGCGAAUACGAAUGUUACAUGCAUUCGAUUUUGAAGCCCAGGCUAAAAUAUCUAUGGAAUAUACCGAUAGCCUUCGAUUAGUUUCGACUUCUUAGAACUUUCUAAGAGUAUACUUACGAAAUCUUUAUCACAAGUCAAGCAUAGGUGAAAUAUGGAUAUAGAAUUCCAGCAAGGAGUUUAAUUCUUUUAUUUAUAUUGUGAAAAAUAAUACAAUAGCCAUGAAUCACAAUAGAUACUACACAUAGGAAGUAACUUCGUUAUCGUUCAAUUAGCAGGUCAAUCAGAGAUCCCAAGACAGACGAAAGGGGGUCGUGUGCAAAAAUCGUAGAACGAUUGGACAGAUAUUAUAGUGUUUGCUAUCUCCAUUGGAAGAAUGACAAUUAAUGCUAAUUAUCAUCGAUAAUGAUCAUCGAUCAAUCUUCCAAAGGCCAAAAUUCCGUUGCCGAUCGCCCACCCCGAUGUCAAUCCCGGCAGGGCACAGGCUCUAGAUUACAGUUCCAUGUUCGUAUCUGUGUGGGUGCGUGUGUGUGUGUGUGGGUGGGUGUUUGUUUAAGUAUUUUCGCAUCUUAUCGCCUGCGAUUUGUUGAUACAAUUUUAGAACAUUUUCAAUUCGAGUUGCUUGCCCCUGCUCCGGCCCGUUUCCAAGCAACAGCGUCGUCAUCCCUUAUCGACACCGCGACUCCUCGCCCCAUCUGAUAAGCAUCGCCAGCAAAACAUAUGUUGUACCCAACAAUUCACAAGACCAAUUCCGACUACCGAACUGUCAGAGUGGAAGGAAAACAAGCAGAAAGUAAAAUAAGUGCAAGUUAAAGUGGAACACUAACCGAAACAAAUAGCAAACAAGCCCAACAGAGAGAACUAACCAACAUUUCCAGUUCGCGCUAAACACGAUUCUAAUUAUAUGGUAUGAUUAGUUCUGCUUCAAUUUGGAAUAGAGAUUGGACCACAUUGGGAUGCUACAACUUCAAAGGGUUAUUAUAACCAAAGGAUAGUUUACAAGCGAUGGUUUCUACAUAUCUCAAUAAAACAUUGUGAAAAGCAUCUGAAAAUCAUGCAAAAUGUUUAUCCUAUUUUUAGGUUCUCUCAGAACCUCUACAUACAAACAUUUAUGUUUAGAUUUUCUUUAUACCCAUGAGAUCAUUUCCCAGACAGUGAUUUACGUAUAUCUAUAGAAAGAAACAUCCUGGAAGACCCUAAAGUAUCCUCUAUGUAACAUACAAAUACACGCAUACAACGACCCAAGAGCAGUGAGAGUGAGAGAGAGAUAUUGACUUCCUUAAAUGCUCUCCGCAAGAGCGUGUCCCUUUUACUUCUUUACUCCGUUUCAAACGAAAGUGAGCAAAAAGAUUGAAAACUGAAAGGGAGUGGAGAGGAGAGGAGAGGAGACGAGGCUCCACAACUGCUACGCUACGCGAGCAAAAGGCAUGCGAAUGGAAACCAGUUAUAUUGCAAUCCGGAUUUCAAGGGGGCAACAAGAAUUUGAAAUCGAUGUGUGGAUCAAACACCAAGUUUGCCAAAGCCAUUGCAUAAUCGAGCAGAAAUCUGCAAGUCCAAGACAGAGAGAGAGAGAGAGAGAGAGACAGACUCCAAAAACGCUGUUAAUCAGAGUGAAGGUGAAUGGAAGUGGAACAAAUGGAAGUGGAGUUUGGAAGUGAUGUUGGAAAUGGCUUCAUUUCGUGGUCACGCAUCUGAACAGCAACAAGAGCUACAGGGGCAGGAGGUGGGCGGCGGAAGAGAAGGCUCCUCUCUUUCUCACCAGACGAUGGAGAGAUUAUUUUUACCUCGAGAGCAACUGUUGCGCACAGUGGGGGUCAAAAUAAUAGUAAUAAUAAUAUUUAUAGCCUACAGUGGAUCGAUCUGCUGGAAUAUCAAAGACUUUGUGGUCAUCCUUUCGGGUUUUACUUUUACUUUAAUUGCAUAAAUACAAAUGUAUUGGGGUUGUUUUUGGGAUUAAACUCUUAAGUGCUGCCAAUUAUUUUGCCCGCUGCUGUACGAUGCUUGAGACUCUUUCACUUUUUCGUAUUGUUUUUGUUGUUUUUAUUUGCCUUUGUGUCGGGCAAAAGUUGGGCUUUUGAUUUCAAGGCUUAUGCGCUGGCGUGUGUUGUCGCUGACGCGGGGACUGACGCUGGGCGUGGCGGCGCGGGGCUCUUUUAACUUUCAAUAACUCGAUUGCCAAAUCACGAGUAAAAGGAACAAAGAACACACUCUCCACUCCACUCUACACACACGCCAUACGCUUUGUUGUUGGCUUGUAAUGAACAACAACAAUUUUAAUCGUUUUUUGAUCCUAUUUAAUUGCGUUAUAAUGUACUGUCCCGCUCACUCCCCACUCAUUCUCCUCUCAAUGCAAUCAGUCAUCCGCUCUCGCUUGAUAGCUCUCUCUCCGACUGCUGUUCCUUUCUCUCACUCACUCAUGAGAUAAUCGCUAGGCUGCUUUGCUGCUCCCGCUGCCCUCUCUUUUUGUCAUACGCACUCUGGCAAGCAUUCACUAACCCAAAUAGCUGUACACACACACACACACACACUUGUGCACACAUACUUGUCAAUACUUUAAUCUGGAUUCGUUCUAGGCGGUAUAGUGUUAGGUUGCCAGGCCAGAGAGCGCCUCUCAUUUCAGACUUUGGGCAGGAGAGAGAGCAGAGGGGUAAUUAAUUCCCCACCCUGCAACCAUGACACCUUGGGUUUGUUUGUACAUACGUAUGUAUUUUCGCUUAAACAAAACGCAUUUGCAAUCGAAAACAAACAAAACAAUUCCAUGUAAUUUACAAUAAACAAUUAAUGGCAGAGCUCUGAUUUCAGUGUUCGAUUGCCGCUGUCUGUCCCGCGGCAAAAAGGUUAUGUGGGAACCAGCGGCUGCUGCCACAAAACAAACAAAAAUUCUGCCAGCUGUUUGUAUUGGGUGGUUGGGGGGAGGAGGGGAGGAAGACGCAACAGGUGGUCCGGCUGUUGGUGGCGUGCCAGGUGCUCCACAUCUAGGGUGCUACUCGGUUUUAUUGUUGUAUAAUCGAGGCUCAAUGGAUCAAUUGCACUUGUGGACACGCACUGGAACGCAGCACCUCCCCUCCACCCACACACACAUCCCUCAUGACGUAUGCAUGUGUGUUUGUGUAUUUAUUGGAUUAAACGUUGUGAUUAA
rnacentral:sRNA from 1 species